rnacentral:rRNA from 1 species
GACGAACGCUGGCGGCGUGCUUAACACAUGCAAGUCGAGCGGUAAGGCCCUUUCGGGGGUACACGAGCGGCGAACGGGUGAGUAACACGUGGGUGACCUGCCCUCAGCUCUGGGAUAAGCCUGGGAAACCGGGUCUAAUACCGGAUAUGACUCCAUGACGCAUGUUGUGGGGUGGAAAGCCUUGUGCGGCUGAGGAUGGGCCCGCGGCCUAUCAGCUUGUUGGUGGGGUGAUGGCCUACCAAGGCGACGACGGGUAGCCGGCCUGAGAGGGCGACCGGCCACACUGGGACUGAGACACGGCCCAGACUCCUACGGGAGGCAGCAGUGGGGAAUAUUGCGCAAUGGACGAAAGUCUGACGCAGCAACGCCGCGUGAGGGAUGACGGCCUCGG